rnacentral:sRNA from 1 species
CGCCCCAGCCAUGAACAACGCGGAGUUCUGUAAUACCCCUGAGCAGCAGCCCAGGACCCUUGAAGAGUGCAAACUCCCACCUGGCCUGGGUCCGUAGGCCUCGCUCAACCCGCUGUUUGCUUAUCCCAAGUCUGGAACCCACGGGGUGGGGGAAGGGCGUCUGGCUCCGCAGCAGAACACGAAGUUUUCAUUCCCCAAGGGGCGGCCAGGGGGCGAACUAGGGAAAGUCCGCCCCAGGUCAGCGACUUACAACUCUUCAUUCUGAAGUGCGUGUAGUGCCCUUGUCUCCAGAGACGCGGAGAGUCCUCGAGGCCCCUUGAGCUAAGUGCAGCCUGGCCCAGUUUCUCCUGCCCUACUCUACUCCCCUCCCUAUAAGCGACCCACCCUCAAGGGGCGGAGGGCGCGUAGGGAUGCGCUGACUCAUGCCCGCGUAAUUUCGACCAGUCUUUCAACGUGAGCGACCCCUAGAAUCUGGCUCUCUGAGUUAUCUGUGGGUGGCUCC